rnacentral:rRNA from 1 species
CAGGAUAUGCCUAGGUGGGAUUAGCUAGUUGGUGAGGUAAGGGCUCACCAAGGCGACGAUCCCUAGCUGGUCUGAGAGGAUGAUCAGCCACACUGGAACUGAGACACGGUCCAGACUCCUACGGGAGGCAGCAGUGGGGAAUAUUGCACAAUGGGCGCAAGCCUGAUGCAGCCAUGCCGCGUGUGUGAAGAAGGCCUUCGGGUUGUAAAGCACUUUCAGUCGUGAGGAAGGUAGUGUAGUUAAUAGCUGCAUUAUUUGACGUUAGCGACAGAAGAAGCACCGGCUAACUCCGUGCCAGCAGCCGCGGUAAUACGGAGGGUGCGAGCGUUAAUCGGAAUUACUGGGCGUAAAGCGCAUGCAGGUGGUUUGUUAAGUCAGAUGUGAAAGCCCGGGGCUCAACCUCGGAAUAGCAUAUGAAACUGGCAGACUAGAGUACUGUAGAGGGGGGUAGAAUUUCAGGUGUAGCGGUGAAAUGCGUAGAGAUCUGAAGGAAUACCGGUGGCGAAGGCGGCCCCCUGGACAGAUACUGACACUCAGAUGCGAAAGCGUGGGGAGCAAACAGGAUUAGAUACCCUGGUAGUCCACGCCGUAAACGAUGUCUACUUGGAGGUUGUGGCCUUGAGCCGUGGCUUUCGGAGCUAACGCGUUAAGUAGACCGCCUGGGGAGUACGGUCGCAAGAUUAAAACUCAAAUGAAUUGACGGGGGCCCGCACAAGCGGUGGAGCAUGUGGUUUAAUUCGAUGCAACGCGAAGAACCUUACCUACUCUUGACAUCCAGAGAACUUUCCAGAGAUGGAUUGGUGCCUUCGGGAACUCUGAGACAGGUGCU